CACACAUCCUUGGGGGGCCCCAGAGUUCAGUGUGAUGGUGCUGGAUGAACAAGUGGAAAUUCAGUGUGACAUAUGUGACCGGAGGUACCACAUGCAACGUGUACAAGAGCCUAACCCCAUGAUGCCCUAUAGCUGUGCAGCGUGUCAAUCCCCUGCCUUUACAUUAUUAGUGUUUAAGUUUUUGCUUAGUUAAAGGUACUGUUAACCUGAUAUUACCUCACAUUGUUUGAAAAAUAAAGCAUUUAAUUGCAAAUUAAA